rnacentral:rRNA from 1 species
UACGUAGGGUGCAAGCGUUGUCCGGAAUUAUUGGGCGUAAAGAGCUCGUAGGCGGUUUGUCGCGUCUGCUGUGAAAACUCGGGGCUCAACCCCGAGCUUGCAGUGGGUACGGGCAGACUAGAGUGCGGUAGGGGAGACUGGAAUCCUGGUGUAGCGGUGAAAUGCGCAGAUAUCAGGAGGAACACCGGUGGCGAAGGCGGGUCUCUGGGCCGAGUACUGACGCUGAGGAGCGAAAGCGUGGGGAGCGAACAGG